GAGCUCGAUGCUACGCGAGGGAGAGGGAAACACAUUGAUGGCAUACCUACCUUCUCCAUUUGAUAAUUAAAUAGAUAUGUCGCCACUAUGUUAAUCUGGGUAGAGCUCUACAUUUACAAGAGUAGUGCGCAAUUCUUCUUUGAGCUUCGCGGACCAAUUUGUGGUAACUGUGAUCUACAUCAGUGGAAGAAAUCAGGAAAUCCAUUCAGGGGGACAACAAGAAGAAGAAGAGCUUCACGGAUAUCAACUUUUCUAGUUAUUUUGAUCGCAUUUUUGAAUCUGCUGGUCUAUCAUCCAAUAACAAACAGGCGAGUGUAGUUCUGAGUCUAUCGACCGCAAAUACCGAAUGGACGAAGGCCAGAGAGAGCAGGAUUCAGGAUACGAGGUUCGUGCAUACACAGCUCGGAAUUCACAAGGGAUGAGGGACGAGGGGAACAGUUUGGAAUUAAUCAGUACCGGUCUUCAGUAAAUAACCGUAACGAGGAUCCCUUGGUCAACUUAGCGAGUUCUCGAAGAAUUCGACGAAAGACUACAACACACGCCAAGAACGAACGAUAAUGAAGCCCAGGAGCUUUUCCGAUAGCAUUCGAGAGACGUUUGGUAAUUUAUUUGGUAAAUUGCUACUCUUUCACGAAUACGCUCGUGAUAGAUAAAAAUGGAGUUGAGCACUUAACUGUUUACAACUUUUAAUAAAAAAUAUAA